UACGUAGGCAGCAAGCGUUGUUCGGAGUUACUGGGCGUAAAGGGUGCGUAGGCGGUCCCUUAAGUUCGGUGUGAAAUCUCCCGGCUCAACUGGGAGGGUGCGCCGGAAACUGAGGGACUCGAGUGCGGGAGGGGAGAGCGGAAUUCCUGGUGUAGCGGUGAAAUGCGUAGAUAUCAGGAGGAACACCGGUGGUGCAGACGGCUCUCUGGACCGUAACUGACGCUGAGGCACGAAAGCGUGGGUAGCAAACAGG
rnacentral:rRNA from 1 species